rnacentral:tRNA from 1 species
GCUCCUGUAGUCUAAUGGAUAGAAUGCAAGCUUGCGGAGCUUGAGGUCGGAGUUCGAUUCUUCGCAGGGGCG